rnacentral:lncRNA from 1 species
CUCAGCCAGGGAGUGACCACCCACCUGAGACUGCCCUGAGCCACACCAGCUGGGCACACGGUGGGAGGUGGUGGAGAAGAAGAAGGGGAAGGGAGGUUUGAGUUGAGGACUGAAGAAAGAAAAGUUUGUUCAGACACAGAGCUCUGAGUACUGCUGCAUGGGAGGUCUUUCUGAUGAUGCUGCAUGGGAAGACCAGGGUGGUGUAUGAGUGCUUAGGGAAGGGAUUGCACAGCCCAGAGAAGUGGCCCAGUUUCCUCCUGUGACCUCUACCAGCUCAGCUGCAGAGUUCAACACGCCUUUCUCUUACUUGGGGCUGUGUUCAAAGCCUUGCUCCAGUGGAAUGGAACUUUAUUCUUGUGGAAAGGAGAACUUCUUUUCUUACUUCUUCUCCCAAAAACCUUCAGGAGGCUUCACCCAAUCCCCAGGUGUGAACUUCCUCAAGGACCAUUAGCCAAAAUGUUUGUGUCAUAA